UAAUGUCGUUGCUGUUAUUUUUUAGGUAGAAAGACAUGAUUAUUUUGAUAACACUGCACUCAAUGCGAUUCAUCUUUUCUGUGAAAGUCAAUCUAAUGACGCAUCAGGCAUCAUUCGGUCUAACGAAGGAAGCUUUGGUCAGUGGAUAGAUUAUAUCCAAAUGUGUCCUAAUGGAUUCUUAACAGCGUUUCAGUUGAAAGUUGAAUCUUCCCAAGGAAUUGGUGAUGAUACGGCCGUAAACAACAUCAGUGUCUGAAAUGCUUCGAUCAAGGAUUCAGUCUCUAAACCCCACCUUUGCUCUGAUUGGUCAGAAACCAAACUCCUAUUAUCAUAUCUGAGGGUGUACCUGUCUUGUUUGGUUCGAUUGAAAGGAACUCAGGUUCGUUUCCCCCUUUG